rnacentral:rRNA from 1 species
GACGAACGCUGGCGGCGUGCUUAACACAUGCAAGUCGAACGAUGAUGCUGGAGCUUGCUCCAGUUGAUUAGUGGCGAACGGGUGAGUAACACGUGAGCAAUCUGCCCUUGACUCUGGGAUAACUGCGGGAAACUGUAGCUAAUACCGGAUACUUUCACCGGAAGGCAUCUUCUGGUGAUGAAAGAAUUUCGGUCAGGGAUGAGCUCGCGGCCUAUCAGCUUGUUGGUGAGGUAACGGCUCACCAAGGCGACGACGGGUAACCGGCCUGAGAGGGUGACCGGUCACACUGGGACUGAGACACGGCCCAGACUCCUACGGGAGGCAGCAGUGGGGAAUAUUGGACAAUGGGCGCAAGCCUGAUGCAGCAACGCCGCGUGAGGGAUGAAGGCCUUCGGGUUGUAAACCUCUUUUAGCAGGGAAGAAGCGGAAGUGACGGUACCUGCAGAAAAAGCACCGGCUAACUACGUGCCAGCAGCCGCAGUAA